GGAUGGAGUUAUCCUGCCUUCAGACUGAUCAGAUAUGGCUGUGGGCUGGGGCUGGGAUCUUGGGAGACUGACAGACCCUCUUGGUGGAAGCUGGGAAAGAAAAGUGUGAUGGGAAAGUGAGGCAAGGCCAGCCGCACGGAGUGUCCCAGGCUGAUCCUGGCACAGUUUCUGCAAAACGUUGGCCCAUGAGAUUGGAGUUGGGAUGUGAGGCACUGGCUCAGUGAAAUAAAGAGAUGGCGUUCCUUGGAAUGGAGAUGGUCUAGAAAAUGAGGUACGAAUAUGCACUUCAUGAUUAUAAAAAUAACUGUCAUCUGGAGCAGAGUGACAUUUCCCUGGGACCGAACUACAGGAUGAACUUGAUGCUGGCUAAAGAAAGUACGACUAUAUGCUUCAAGAGUCCAAGGGCCAUCCCUCUUUUUGUAUGGUUAUAUCCCCAGAGUUUAGUGCACUACUGACACACAGGGCUGAACAGAAAGGAUGAUGGAGUACACAGCUUGAGUGAGGCCUACAUUGAAAUGUAUGUGUUCAGAGUUACAUCAAGCACUAUUUAGUUCUGCCUAAAGCCUUCCAUGGGCAACUGUGAGGAGAAGAGUGGGUCCAAAGAGCGAGAAGAGGACACUCAAUAAUUCUUCCCUAGGUUUUCUCAAAUAUCAGGCAAGUCUCACAGAACACGUGACACUGUAUUAUCAAUGCAGACUUCACAUUAAGAAUAGUUUAUGUGUGAACAUUUAAUGGACAGAGACAAAAAUGUCAUAUCUUCACAUCCAAUGGAAGGUGGCAAUUCAGUUCUGGCAAGGUCAUUUAUUAUUCCCUUUUGGGUAAUAUAUUAAGGAUAUUUGUUCCUUAAAUCUUUGAUCAAUCAUAACUCCACAUCCAUGUACUCUUAGUUGUUCAAGGAAAACUUUCCAGGGAAGAACAUUUCAAAGAAUUAACACUGGCAAAGCCAUAUUUUCCUUGUUCACUACUCAAUUAGGAUGAAUGUGGUUGUACAUACACAAUACAUCCAUAGUUAUAAACUCCUAUUUCACCUUAUCAUAUCUUCCCAGACCCCUUUUGCGUAUCUAAAUUGUACAGUGUAUAUCUAAGUCUCUUAAAGCCAAACUCAAUAUAUAGUCCAGCAUAGAGCCUUCCUUGCCAAUUCCCAUCUUCACUAAUCUCUCCCUCUAGAGAUUAUUUAACCUUAAAAUAGAAUGAAAGAUUAAGGCAACAGAGCAGUAUGGUUUAUGAACUCAGGUAAUGGAUUUAGAUAGACUUGAGUGUGGACCAUUGUUCUGCUAUUUUCUUUAUGCUAUCAGGCAAAUUACUUAAUCCCCCCUUAGCCUCAAUUUUCUCUUUGUUAGAAUGAGAACAAGAGCAAUCCUCAAGAAUGUUAUAUGAAUUGAAUGAGCUAUUUUCCAAUAUGCUCUGCAUGGUGCUUGACUGUAAACUCUCAAUAAAUAUAAGAUAUCUUUGGUAAUAGUGAAAAUAAUAUUACUAUUAGUCAACCAAAACAGAGGAAUUUUUAAAAAAUGGAAUGACAAUGUUUGAUACUUACUGUGACUACAAUGCUUUUUCUAUCAAUAAAAAUUCUAGUUAUCCUUUAA